UCAUCUUUAUUUAAAUAUUCUCUAAUAAACUUUUAAAUCUUUUUGUAUUAGUUUGAUAUCUGGUAUGUUCCCAUUGAAAGCCUUAUAUCAAAUAGAUCUGUGGAGUGGGGAGAUGGAUUAGGGGCUUUCUCUAUCCACUCUGUGCAUCAUCCUGGUAUUGCAGUAUCUUUGGGUGUGGUGAAUCUUCC
ensembl:snRNA U2 U2 spliceosomal RNA